UCAAUUUUUAACGAAAUCCGUUUCUAGCUAAAUUACAUCCAUAGCUUUAUUGUGUUCGAUUCUCGCAAUGAAAAAAACCGUCUCAUUUGACCUGACUUAGGACCGCUAAUGGAAUAAUAGAAUAGUUAAACUAAUGACUUAAAGUAGGUGAGCAAAGUUUAAUCGACUUCGACGUACAUGGUGGCAGCGGGGCGAAAUUCAACACAAUUUUAUUAAUGCUCCUGACGACGAAGAAUUCACACGAGGCGGCCCGUUUUAUCGCGAUGUUAAGAGGAAUUGUAUCCUCACUAGCUGGAGGGGCUAACGUACACAGCUCGACCGCAACCGGAUCAUUGGCUUUUAAGUAAUUGGCGCCAAGCAGGUGUCAGCCUGAAGUACAGAGAAGUACGGCCUUUGAAAACGGUUGGAGUUAUUAAAGGUGAACGCCAAUUAAACGAUUUCACGCGUGUAAAUAGCUCGAUUAGCUCAAACUAGAGAAAGCAGCUAAUGAUAUAGAAGCUUGGUUAAUCAAUCUUUACUCAAAACUGAAGGCUAUAAAUUCAACGAACGGGGGCUGCCUUUUGGCUUCAACACCUAUUUAAAGAUCAAUCAUUUCCAAAGUCGCGACUGAUGCGGGUACGAAGAUGAUGCCUAUCGCAAGAAUAUCUGUGGUCUUGCUGGUUAUUCUAACCGUUCUCAAAACUCCCGUUAAAUCGCAAAAUAAUUGGCCUUGUGUCUUCUCGUACACCAAAUGCAAGCGCAGUCAGGUUGUUACUGAAGAGCAAGACCGCAAAAAUGAUAAACAGUUGAUAUCAUCGCCGCCAGAAGAGCUCUCUCCCGAUAAAAUACUAGACCUACGACAGCUUCUCUUAAGAUGGCAGGAACAGCAAAAACGCACGGCAGAAUCGAGAUCCUGAAGAAGAAAACACCGAGCGGAGAGACGCGUGCGCGAAAAAGAGACAAAAUUCGACAAAAUACACGUACAUGCCACCUAUAUAACUGCGUAAUAGGAAAGACACAUGCAAACCAAUAGUAAAUAACUCACAGAUAAACAAACAAUACUUCUAAAGUAGGUCUUUUGACUGUAAGGGACUGAUUAUGAACUGAAACUGUCCAUUAAAUGAUAAAAGAAUAGAAGUAAAGGUAAACGGUUAAAUCAAACAUUCCACAUAUAAGCAUAACAACCUUUCACAGAAAUUGUCAUGACAUCCGUUGUCAAUGCAUUAAUAAAGAAAUAAUGU